rnacentral:rRNA from 1 species
UCUUACGGCCAUACCACCCUGAGAACGCCCGAUCUCGUCUGAUCUCGGAAGCUAAGUAGGGUCGGGCCUGGUUAGUACUUGGAUGGGAGACCGCCUGGGAAUACCAGGUGCUGUAAGCU